UAGGGAAUUUUGCACAAUGGGCGCAAGCCUGAUGCAGCGACGCCGCGUGCGGGAUGGAGGCCUUCGGGUUGUAAACCGCUUUGUUCAAGGGCAAGGCACGGUCUUUGGCCGUGUUGAGUGGAUUGUUCGAAUAAGCACCGGCUAACUACGUGCC
rnacentral:rRNA from 1 species